rnacentral:rRNA from 1 species
AUUGAACGCUGGCGGCAGGCUUAACACAUGCAAGUCGAGCGGGGGAAGGUAGCUUGCUACCGGACCUAGCGGCGGACGGGUGAGUAAUGCUUAGGAAUCUGCCUAUUAGUGGGGGACAACAUCUCGAAAGGGAUGCUAAUACCGCAUACGUCCUACGGGAGAAAGCAGGGGAUCUUCGGACCUUGCGCUAAUAGAUGAGCCUAAGUCGGAUUAGCUAGUUGGUGGGGUAAAGGCCUACCAAGGCGACGAUCUGUAGCGGGUCUGAGAGGAUGAUCCGCCACACUGGGACUGAGACACGGCCCAGACUCCUACGGGAGGCAGCAGUGGGGAAUAUUGGACAAUGGGGGGAACCCUGAUCCAGCCAUGCCGCGUGUGUGAAGAAGGCCUUAUGGUUGUAAAGCACUUUAAGCGAGGAGGAGGCUACUUUAGUUAAUACCUAGAGAUAGUGGACGUUACUCGCAGAAUAAGCACCGGCUAACUCUGUGCCAGCAGCCGCGGUAAUACAGAGGGUGCGAGCGUAAU